AGAGUUUGAUCCUGGCUCAGGAUGAACGCUAGCUACAGGCUUAACACAUGCAAGUCGAGGGGCAGCAUGGUCUUAGCUUGCUAAGGCCGAUGGCGACCGGCGCACGGGUGAGUAACACGUAUCCAACCUGCCGUCUACUCUUGGACAGCCUCCUGAAAGGAAGAUUAAUACAAGAUGGCAUCAUGAGUCCACAUGUUCACAUGAUUAAAGGUAUUCCGGUAGACGAUGGGGAUGCGUUCCAUUAGAUAGUAGGCGGGGUAACGGCCCACCUAGUCUUCGAUGGAUAGGGGUUCUGAGAGGAAGGUCCCCCACAUUGGAACUGAGACACGGUCCAAACUCCUACGGGAGGCAGCAGUGAGGAAUAUUGGUCAAUGGGCGAGAGCCUGAACCAGCCAAGUAGCGUGAAGGAUGACUGCCCUAUGGGUUGUAAACUUCUUUUAUAAAGGAAUAAAGUCGGGUAUGCAUACCCGUUUGCAUGUACUUUAUGAAUAAGGAUCGGCUAACUCCGUGCCAGCAGCCGCGGUAAUACGGAGGAUCCGAGCGUUAUCCGGAUUUAUUGGGUUUAAAGGGAGCGUAGAUGGAUGUUUAAGUCAGUUGUGAAAGUUUGCGGCUCAACCGUAAAAUUGCAGUUGAUACUGGAUAUCUUGAGUGCAGUUGAGGCAGGCGGAAUUCGUGGUGUAGCGGUGAAAUGCUUAGAUAUCACGAAGAACUCCGAUUGCGAAGGCAGCCUGCUAAGCUGCAACUGACAUUGAGGCUCGAAAGUGUGGGUAUCAAACAGGAUUAGAUACCCUGGUAGUCCACACGGUAAACGAUGAAUACUCGCUGUUUGCGAUAUACUGCAAGCGGCCAAGCGAAAGCGUUAAGUAUUCCACCUGGGGAGUACGCCGGCAACGGUGAAACUCAAAGGAAUUGACGGGGGCCCGCACAAGCGGAGGAACAUGUGGUUUAAUUCGAUGAUACGCGAGGAACCUUACCCGGGCUUAAAUUGCAGAUGAAUUACGGUGAAAGCCGUAAGCCGCAAGGCAUCUGUGAAGGUGCUGCAUGGUUGUCGUCAGCUCGUGCCGUGAGGUGUCGGCUUAAGUGCCAUAACGAGCGCAACCCUUGUUGUCAGUUACUAACAGGUUCUGCUGAGGACUCUGACAAGACUGCCAUCGUAAGAUGUGAGGAAGGUGGGGAUGACGUCAAAUCAGCACGGCCCUUACGUCCGGGGCUACACACGUGUUACAAUGGGGGGUACAGAGGGCCGCUACCACGCGAGUGGAUGCCAAUCCCAAAAACCUCUCUCAGUUCGGACUGGAGUCUGCAACCCGACUCCACGAAGCUGGAUUCGCUAGUAAUCGCGCAUCAGCCACGGCGCGGUGAAUACGUUCCCGGGCCUUGUACACACCGCCCGUCAAGCCAUGGGAGCCGGGGGUACCUGAAGUGCGUAACCGCGAGGAGCGCCCUAGGGUAAAACUGGUGACUGGGGCUAAGUCGUAACAAGGUA
rnacentral:rRNA from 1 species